AUUGAACGCUGGCGGCAUGCUUUACACAUGCAAGUCGAACGGUAACAGGCCGCAAGGUGCUGACGAGUGGCGAACGGGUGAGUAAUGCAUCGGAACGUGCCCAGUCGUGGGGGAUAACUACUCGAAAGAGUAGCUAAUACCGCAUACGAUCUAUGGAUGAAAGCGGGGGACCGUAAGGCCUCGCGCGAUUGGAGCGGCCGAUGUCAGAUUAGGUAGUUGGUGGGGUAAAGGCUCACCAAGCCAACGAUCUGUAGCUGGUCUGAGAGGACAACCAGCCACACUGGAAGAGAGACACGGCCAAGACUACUACGGGAGGCAGCAGUGGGGAAUUUUGGACAAUGGGCGCAAGCCUGUUCCAGUAAUGCAGCGUGCAGAAAGAAGGCCUUCGGGUUGUAAACUGCUUUUGUACGAAACGAAAAGGCUCUAGUUAAGACCCGGAGAUAAUGACGAUACCGUAUGAAUAUGCACCGGCUAACUCCGUG
rnacentral:rRNA from 1 species